AACGAACGCUGGCGGCAUGCCUAACACAUGCAAGUCGAACGAGACCUUCGGGUCUAGUGGCGCACGGGUGCGUAACGCGUGGGAACCUGCCCUUAGGUUCGGAAUAACUCCCCGAAAGGGGUGCUAAUACCGGAUAAUGUCUUCGGACCAAAGAUUUAUCGCCUUUGGAUGGGCCCGCGUUGGAUUAGCUAGUUGGUAGGGUAAAAGCCUACCAAGGCGACGAUCCAUAGCUGGUCUGAGAGGAUGAUCAGCCACACUGGGACUGAGACACGGCCCAGACUCCUACGGGAGGCAGCAGUGAGGAAUAUUGGACAAUGGGCGAAAGCCUGAUCCAGCAAUGCCGCGUGAGUGAUGAAGGCCUUAGGGUUGUAAAGCUCUUUUACCCGGGAUGAUAAUGACAGUACCGGGAGAAUAAGCGCCGGCUAAAUCCGUG
rnacentral:rRNA from 1 species